AGUGAACGCUGGCGGUAGGCCUAACACAUGCAAGUCGAACGGCAGCACAGUAAGAGCUUGCUCUUACGGGUGGCGAGUGGCGGACGGGUGAGGAAUACAUCGGAAUCUACUUUUUCGUGGGGGAUAACGUAGGGAAACUUACGCUAAUACCGCAUACGACCUACGGGUGAAAGCAGGGAAUCUUCGGACCUUGCGCGAUUGGAUGAGCCGAUGUCGGAUUAGCUAGUUGGCGGGGUAAAGGCCCACCAAGGCGACGAUCCGUAGCUGGUCUGAGAGGAUGAUCAGCCACACUGGAACUGAGACACGGUCCAGACUCCUACGGGAGGCAGCAGUGGGGAAUAUUGGACAAUGGGCGCAAGCCUGAUCCAGCCAUACCGCGUGGGUGAAGAAGGCCUUCGGGUUGUAAAGCCCUUUUGUUGGGAAAGAAAAGCAGCAGGUUAAUACCCCGCUGUUCUGACGGUACCCAAAGAAUAAGCACCGGCUAACUUCGUG
rnacentral:rRNA from 1 species